rnacentral:rRNA from 1 species
AAUCAACGCUGGCGGCGUGCCUAACACAUGCAAGUCGAACGCGAAAAGGGCUUCGGCUCUUAGUAGAGUGGCAAACGGGUGAGUAACACGUGGGGUGACCUACCUUCGAAUGGGGGAGUAACGUCCCGAAAGGGAACGCUAAUACCGCAUAACAUCCUGCCUUUGUAACAGGUGGAGAUCAAAGACCGGGGAGUCGCAAGACCUGGCGUUUGAAGAGGAGCCUGCGGCGGAUUAGCUUGNGGUAAGGUAACGGCUUACCAAGGCGACGAUCCGUACGCCGGCCUGAGAGGGCGGGUCGGCCACACUGACACUGACAUACGGGUCAGACUCCUACGGGAGGCAGCA